CUUAUUGAAAUUAAACCCGGCCGAGCGCAUAUUAGCGAUGUCAGCUUCGGCUGACUAUGGCGAUAAACGAGCGUGAAAUAAGCGUAUCGGACCCGGGGGCAGUACCCGGCGCCUCCACCAGUUUUUUGCGCGGAUGCGCAUCGGUUCCGGUGAUCGGGCAACAGCCCACCCCGGACCGCUUUGGGGGCGAAACAGGAUCGACGAGCGUGUAAAGACGUAUCUUUCGCCCGGCAUGGUACCGUCGUUAUCGGGCCAGUUCCUUAAUUGCGAACGACAACAAUGAGGGCUUGGCCCUCGCCGCUGCCUAAUUAGGUAAGCGCGGCCCGGAGGGCGCCGGGCAACAGAAGCCCUCCACC
rnacentral:tmRNA from 1 species